rnacentral:rRNA from 1 species
GUGGAUGCCCUGGCAGUCAGAGGCGAUGAAGGACGUGCUAAUCUGCGAUAAGCGUCGGUGAGGUGAUAUGAACCGUUAUAACCGGCGAUUUCCGAAUGGGGAAACCCAGUGUGUUUCGACACACUAUCAUUAACUGAAUCCAUAGGUUAAUGAGGCGAACCGGGGGAACUGAAACAUCUAAGUACCCCGAGGAAAAGAAAUCAACCGAGAUUCCCCCAGUAGCGGCGAGCGAACGGGGAGGAGCCCAGAGCCUGAAUCAGUGUGUGUGUUAGUGGAAGCGUCUGGAAAGGCGCGCGAUACAGGGUGACAGCCCCGUACACAAAAAUGCACAUACUGUGAGCUCGAUGAGUAGGGCGGGACACGUGGUAUCCUGUCUGAAUAUGGGGGGACCAUCCUCCAAGGCUAAAUACUCCUGACUGACCGAUAGUGAACCAGUACCGUGAGGGAAAGGCGAAAAGAACCCCGGCGAGGGGAGUGAAAAAGAACCUGAAACCGUGUACGUACAAGCAGUGGGAGCCUCUUAAUGGGGUGACUGCGUACCUUUUGUAUAAUGGGUCAGCGACUUAUAUUCUGUAGCAAGGUUAACCGAAUAGGGGAGCCGAAGGGAAACCGAGUCUUAACUGGGCGUUAAGUUGCAGGGUAUAGA